AGAUUCAAAAACAAGGCAUAACAUCUGGAGCAGCUGGCCAAAGCAACACAGCAGUCGUGGAUGUCUAGGAUCUGGAUGGAAAUUCAAAGGCAGUUCCUGGGCAGCUGGCAGCUACAUUGGCAGAGCCCUCCAGACUCACACUGGGGCUCUCUUAGGCCAGAAGACCAUAGCUGCUGAAAAAUCUACUCCCUGCUACGAAGAGAAGUAAUCGGCAUUCACGCUUCCUCCCAAGUACUGGCUCUGAUCAUGUAUGUCACUAUGACGUCAUCGGGCAUCCCGUCCCACGCCAUCAUCUCCAGAGGUGUUUAGUUUUGGUUCAACAUGAAAACAAAUUCAUCGAGUCUGACAAGCGAACUAGACUCUUUUGGUUGCAAUAUUCCAAGUAACAAAUACCUAAUCUGAAGUACCACAAGCUGUCCCUGUCAAAAGAAGUAAAUAAAAGAAAGAAGAAAGGUAAGAAAAGGAAGAAGAAGGAAGGAAAGAAAGGAG